CCCCUUUCUAAUACCAUUACUUACAUAUUUUAUGAUUUAAUGUGUAAUAUAUUUGUUUACAAAUAAGAUAUUAACCUAAUGAUAUGAAUUCAUUUUUUUAUAAGCCCUGUCUAUUUUUCUAUAAGCUUCUGCCUCUGUUAUGUGAAAAUUGAAAAUUUUGCUUAUAUAUAAUACGUCAUAGCUCUUAAGCAUUAUUUUUUUUAAAGAAAACAGUCAUGCGACCAUGGUUUAAAAAUUACUUUUGCUGUAAAACAGUUUUUUCAAUAUUAUUUUGAAUGUUUAAAACAUGACAAUUAGAUUUCUGAAAUAGCAUUACACAAAAAAAAUGGAAAUUUAGCUCCUGCUUCAAAACAAUUAAAAUGUUGAUGAUCGAACUAAGAUUUAGGCUAAAGAAAAAUUGAUUACGACUUGAAAAAAACAAACGUAUAUUGUAUAACAAUAUGUUUUCUAUAUAAGAUAUUUUAGAUAAUCAAUAUUUUAACGUAAAUUGUUAGUGUAGUUAACUAAAAUUUAAAUGUAAAAUGGGUCGGUUGUAAAAAAUAUGUAAACUUAAACUUAACCAGUAACUAGAUAUGUAAAAAGGUCACUUGUUUUAUAAAAUGGGUAUGACCGUUUUUUUUUCAAAGAAAUAUUUUAAAGAUUUUAUCACAACAUAUAGAGUAUUGACUAGAUUGAUUUUGAAGUUAAGAGAUAAGAAAUUAAGAAAAAGGGUAAAAGGGUAAUUUCAUAAAGAAAGGGGGAAAUAUGUAAUUGAUUUUAAAGAUUGGACAAAUAUGUAAUAAGGGCUUUUAAUAAGGGGAUAUAUGUAAAAAUUCCUUUUAAAUGCACCAACCUAUAAGAAUCCUAUUAAUUUCAUUUAAUUUACUUAAUAAUCACAAGUUACAUUACUUUAAUCAUUUGGGUCAAAAACAAUUCCAGUUUAAUAAUCACAAAUUACAUUACUUUAAUCAUUUGUGUCAAAAAUAAUUCCACAAAAAUAAUUCCACAAACCCUAGAUCAUCUGAUAAUAACAAUAAGAAGAAAGCUUCGGCCGCACACAAAUCUCCGGUAUUCGACUGCGAUUGCUUGGUUUAUUACACGCACUACUGGUUCCGAUGGGACACGUCUGUUAACCGAGAGCUAAUUCAUCAAGUAAUUGAAGCUAUUGAAGAAAACUUUACCAGUAGUGAACAGGUUAACUGUCGCGGCCGUAAACCUAACCAGAAGAAAGAGAAGGCGAGUCAUCGGAGGUUCGUCGGAAAAGCUUUAAAUCCUCCGCCAGAGGUUUCGGUUUCGCCUCCGUACGACAUCUCAUUAGUUGAAGAAUGUGCAAAGGAAGAACAUGAGGUAGUGGAGGAGUCGCCGGAGACGGAUGCAACGGCGAGAAGAGGACUCCGGAAGUGAAAGGGUUGUUUAACUAGCGUUUGUGGGGACUUUGGAGUCCGUGAUACUCAUCCUUCGCCUCUCAAUAUAUGCUCUCCAAUCCAUAAUUAACUUCACCCUAAUUGAAGAUCUUCAUCGAUUAGGCACACAACUCUCAGACAUAUAUCUUCGAUUGAUCUCCUGCACAGGCUCGCCAUCAGGCUCUCCAUCAGUCGGCAACUCAAUUGGAAUCGUAAUUAACUUCUCCCCAAUUGAAGAUCUUCAUAGAUUUGGGACACAAUUCUCAGACAUAUAUCUUCGAUUGAUCUCCUGCACAGGCUCUCCAUCAGGUUCUCCAUCAGUCGGCAACUUCAGUUGGAAUCAAAAUGGGUCAUUUACUUGCUCCUUUAAUUACACAUCAUCCUCCGACUCUCCAGCAACCUUUAAGUGCAAUAUAUAUAUUUCUAAGAUGAAGAUAAUGUAUGGUAAUGAAGAUUUGGAGCAACAAGAGUGUGUAGUAUGGGGUCUUGCUUACCUCAUUCAAGGAAUAACAAUGAAAGACAGGGGUCAUUGAUUUCGAAAAACUCCGCCUCUUUGUUCGCCUUCUUCCUGAUUUUAAGUUACAGUGAGUCAAUUUCCUUUUUCUGAUUCUAAUCGAUUAAGAACUAUACGUGAUUAACCAACGAAUUGUGGUAGAUUUUAUGUUUCUAUUGCAGUAUUUGGAUUGAAUUGACUGUUGCAA